rnacentral:lncRNA from 1 species
ACCCAGAAGGUUCAGAAAGAAGCCGCUAAGAAAGAGACUGAAGACACAGCAGAUUUUGAGAUCCCUGUAGUAGAAAAGCCUGCUUCAGAAAAGAAAGUGGAUGAAGCUAAGUUGAGGGAAAUGAAAAAAGAAGAGGAUAGAGCAAAAGCUAGGGAAGGCAUGGAAAGAAAGAGGAAGAAGGAAGAGGCGAAAGUAGCAAAGGCGGCUUUAAGAGCUGAAAAGCAGCGCAAGGAAAUUAUUUAUGGAACUUAUUUUUUUACCAUUACUGUUUUACUGGCAAUUAAUUUGGAACUAAUAUGAUUGUUUCUUGAUUGAUUUCAGGCGCUUGAAGAAAAGAAAGGAAGGUCAAAGAAUAAUAAUAAGCCUGGAGCCUCUGGAACUGCUACCACUGAGGAAUCUGCUGUUGCAGAGGUAGAGGAAGCAGAAAAUGCUGAUGUAAAUGUUGAAGCACCAGUUGAGGCUCCAACUCCAGCAAAACCUAGGGUCCGGAAGGAGAAUACUGUCAAGUACAGGUCUCGAGCAAGGGGUCCAGAAUCACUUCCAAAGGCCAUCCUGAAGCGGAAGAAGUCUACUAACUACUGGGUAUGGGCUGCACCUGCAGCUGCG